rnacentral:rRNA from 1 species
CAAAGAUGCAAUGGCAAGAGAGCAAGAAAUUAAAACAAGGUCAAUCAAAAAGACAUUUGAUUGAUAGAAUACAAGACAGUAUAAAACUUUGUGAAUAAAAUUGAGUGCGGGAUAGUGGCGGACGGGUGAGUAACGCGUGAAUAAUCUGCCCCAUACAGGGGGAUAGCCUCGGGAAACCGGGAUUAAAACCGCAUAACACUUUAUCACCGCAUGGUGAUGAAGUCAAAUCGAUUAAGAGGUAUGGGAUGAGUUCGCGUCUGAUUAGCUAGUUGGCGGGGUAAAGGCCCACCAAGGCGACGAUCAGUAGCCGGCCUGAGAGGGUGACCGGCCACACUGGAACUGAGACACGGUCCAGACUCCUACGGGAGGCAGCAGUGGGGAAUAUUGCACAAUGGGGGAAACCCUGAUGCAGCGACGCCGCGUGAGUGAAGAAGGUCUUCGGAUCGUAAAACUCUGUCCUUGGUGACGAAGGAAGUGACGGUAACCAAGGAGGAAGCCCCGGCUAACUACGUG